UACAGAGGUCUCAAGCGUUUGUUCGGAUUCAUUGGGCGUAAAGGGUGCGUAGGUGGCGAGGUAAGUUGGAUGUGAAAUCCCGGGGCUCAACCCCGGAACUGCAUUCAAUACUGCCUUGCUGGAGUACUGGAGAGGAGAUUGGAAUUUACGGUGUAGCAGUGAAAUGCGUAGAUAUCGUAAGGAAGACCAGUGGCGAAGGCGGAUCUCUGGACAGUUACUGACACUGAGGCACGAAGGCCAGGGGAGCAAACGGG
rnacentral:rRNA from 1 species